CCUUGGGUGAAACGAAACUUUAGGGUAUUUUGUAAAAGUAACGUAAAUUCAAUUGAAAAAAUUUCAUUACGUAUUUUGUGUUUGAUUCUACACUUCAAUAAGAAAACAAACUUUCAAUCAUUUUUAUUUGAAGCUUUCCAAGAAGACUGUUUUGGACACAUUUAUAACGCGGCAGUUGCAAAAUAUUCUCUGAAUUUGUGCGAGAUAUAGAGAAAAGCAUGGACUUUGAUGUUAUGAAUGCCUGCUGCCUGCUAUUGCUUUUUUCAGAAUUAAUAUAAAUGUUAAGUAUCCUAAUAAAAAAUUCACUAAGAUAUUCAAGGAAGUCCAUAAUGAACUUUUGUGAUGCACCAAUCGUGGUGGUCCUUGGAGCCACCGGAGCAGGGAAGUCCAAACUAGCUAUUGAAAUCGCUGAAGAAUUUGAUGGUGAAAUUAUCAGUGCUGAUUCCAUGCAGGUGUAUAAGGGUUUAGACAUUAUUUCCAACAAGGUUACACCAGAAGAACAAGAGCAAGUUCCUCACCAUAUGAUUUAUAUUGUUGAGCCAACAACAAACUACUCUGUUGUCAAGUUCAGGGAUACAGCUUUGUCAAUUAUCGAGGACCUUCGCGGCCGUCAAAAGCUGCCUGUCAUCGUCGGCGGUACCAACUACUACAUCGAGGCGGUGCUGUGGAAGAUACUGGUGGCCGACCGCGCCUCCGAGGGCUCCAACAGGGACGAGGAUGGCGGCACGGCUGAUCAGGAUCGGUCGGAGGGUAGUGAAAACGGCCUGGGGCGCACGGUGGAUGGAACAAAGAGCACAGCUGACCGCUCGGAAAACACGGCUGGCCGACCGGAGCGCACGGCUGACGCCUGCUUUACGACUACCUGUAUUUCUUGGCAACAGGACGCCAUUAGCCGUGUCAUGACACAGGACCAGCCGAACAAUGCAGAGUAGCAUAGCGAUGACAUAUCUGAUAAAGCCGCACACGAGCCGGACACCCUCAGACCGUUUGAUGUUCACCGUCCACCACUCGCCGCCGGCAAGGUCUGAUCAUCAUAACCGGCGCCACAACCGGGUGAGAACAGCUCACAUUCAAUAGCUGCACCGCUCGCCGCCCUCCGCGCCGGGGCGGAGACGGCUCCGGCUCACUGGUUUACGAGAGUGGAGAACACGACUCAGUUAUCUCUCGGUCAGUUAUGACCCUUUGGAGUGUUCGUGUGCGGACAGCUUGUUAGUCCAGGGCGCCUGAGGAGGGAAAAUCGGCCCAUGGCCGGCGCGGGCGGAUGGGGGCUGUAUUAGGUCGAACGGCUGUAUCGUGAGGGAUGGUUUACGAGAAUUGGUUACUUGAUGGAUGGAAAGGAGCGUGCCGACCAGCGGUUGUCAGCGUUCAGGAUGAUCUGUUAUAGGUCGUAUGAUUACGGCAAUGUGUAUUGCAUUGUGUCGUGAGCUACACGAGGCAAUAGUGAGAUACGGGUUUGACCAAACCAAAGUUCAAAUCCUUUGCUUUUGCUAAACGUAACUCCAAACAUUAUUUUUCGCUAAACGCUAAAAAGACACUUUUUGCUAUUGACUGAUUUAUUUCUUCUAGCGUAAAGUUGCUAAACGAUUUGAUAGGCACAUAACAUGAAUAAUCAA
rnacentral:misc_RNA from 1 species